UUCACACCUGGACAGAAGAUAAAAAGGGGAGGGGCAAGCAGCUUCCAAUUAAAGUGCUGUGCCUCAGGAAUAAAAAAUGACUACUUGGAUCUGCUCUCCUGGGUUUUUGAAGACAUCUGAUGGAGACUGGUGGAUCUGAACAGAAGCAAGGCAAAUGUGUGGUGUGUAGAUUCGGUCUGGUGUGUUCCUGAAGCUACAGCGCCACCUACAGGGAGUCAUAAACACAAACCAUCCACUACUCCAAUGGAAAGUUGAAAUGAACUUAUCCUAAUGACUGAAAGUGGGUUUAAUUGGUUUUAUUUAUUAUAUAAGUGGUCAUGUUCAAGAGUCAUUAUGAGUAAGAGCAAUAUGAUAUAUUUUAUUAUUUUGUUAAAUUUUGUUAAGUUUUGGUUCAUUUGAAUUGUAAACAUUUAAACAGAAUACAUCUCAGCAACAAAGGCAAUAAAAUAAUAGAGAGCUCUUAGGACCAUAUAGUUUAGAAAUAUUAUUUCCAGGAUGAACUGAAUAGAAACAUGAUAUUUGAGGAGAGCACAACCAAACUAUUUAAAAGAUACAAGAUUCUGUUUGUCUACUAGUGCUCAUAAGGUAAUUACAUAAGUUGCAGAUUGUAAUAUAGAACUAAAUAUUUAUGUUGUAUUGUCUCAACAAGCAGCUGCACUUUUUUAUUAAAACAAUUUGCACAUUAAAAGUGGGUGUGGCCAACUGUAUCUAA